CUUUUAUUACUUUUCACAAGAAAGGAAGUCGUGGGACGAGGCCGAGCAGUUUUGUGUGUCUCAGGAGUCGCACCUGACCUCUGUCUCCUUCCAGGCAGAACAGGAGUUUCUCUCCAGCGAGACCAAGGGAGAAGCUCACUGGAUUGGACUCACCGACCGGGAGACAGAAGGCAGCUGGCGCUGGGCGGAUGGCACAGAAUACAGAGCAGACGCAAGCAGGGGGUUCUGGGCGGAGAAUGAGCCAAACAAUCACGAUCCAGAGA